CCACCCUGAUAAGGUGAGAGCCACACUGCUGCUGGCCUUGUUGUUCUGAUGACGAAUAGCCCCACUGCACACAGGCAUGCUAUCCUCCCUACAGCUCAGGGACACAGAGCCCGGGGCCCCCAGGAGGCCGUGGAAAGCCAAGAACAUUUUGCCUGGUUUGGAAAUUUCCUGGAGGGUCGAAAGGAGCAAUCGAGUUAUCUUCGUAGAAUCCGCUUGACAAAAGCCGGUUACCUGUCUCGUCAACAGCAUGAGCAAGAUGGCUGAAGUAAGUCAAAUCACUGUUCCUGAACUCACUUUCAACCCCCCCCCCCCCCAGCACAGAAGUGAACGGCUCCACUCUUCACUGUCCCCGGGAACAAGCGCUGCUAAUACCUAGAACAAUGCUAAGCACCAUUGCUAACCGUUUUGGGACUCACUCGGCAGGUGUUUAUUGAGCACUGACUGUGUGCCUCUCCUGGGUCUCAGAACCGGGGAUGCAAAAUUGAAUAAGUCUUCUGAACAAAGAGGGCUUACAGUGGCAGCGAUUUCCGGCAAUUCAGUACGCUGUGCUUUUGUUGUGUCUCAUUUUACUGAAAGUGUAUUUUUAAAGAAUGUUUGGGAAUUAUAGCCCUACGAUAAAAUAUGUUUUGUUUCACUUCCUUUAUGACAGCAGUGACCUUCUGACCAAAAGCAAAAUUCUGGC
rnacentral:lncRNA from 1 species